CGUGCGAUAGGGAGCUGACCAGAGUGCUGGGAGCGCGGAUCCCGGGCCGGGAGCGGGAAAAGAGAAACGAGAGGGGCCAGAGGGCAAAAUGGACGCAAGACAGAGAACUCAAGAGAAAAAGAAAAAGAUUCAUUGGAAAGCAGGGAAAGAGGAGGUCUUUCUCUCGCGGAUUUGUUCACCAGACUUGGCUUUCUUGCACAUCCGUGUGGAGACCACCUUAGGAACAAACUGGAAAACCAGUUAAGAGAAACCUGGACAUAACUUCUGAGCCAUAUUUUUGGAACCGUGCCUCUAUUGUCUGGGCCUGCGACUCUGACGUCUACUAAAUAUGAGGAAUUAUGAAGUGAUUGUUAAAUAUUUGAACAGCUAAGGGAAACCGGAAGUAAUGAGAAACAAAACACCCUACAGAUCUGAGUCACAGGAGAUCCACUGUGGCAGGCCCUGUCAACCUCAGCUCCAGCCAUUGUUUUAUGUGUAUAUAUGCCCAGAGAAGAAGCUGUCUGUCUGAAGGUCCCAACUGCCAGCCAUUUAAACUGGGAAGAACAGAAACACAGUUGGAGAACCUCACUCUUCCACUUAGCUCUGAUCAGAAAUUGUUUUUUGCCAGGACUGAGAGGCCACUAGAAUAUCUGUAUCUAAAUGAAACUAUUGUUUUUUGCUGGUUACUCUUUAGGUUUUAAUUUUCCACUGUUAUGUGGACGAUAUGUAAAGUUAAGAUGUAUGAUCGCGUUUUUGGGAGGAUGAGGCAUGGGAUUGUGAGUUUGAUAGCUGGAACUAGUUUACAUCUCGUUUGUUGAGACAUGGGUUCAAUCUGUAGCCUAGAUUGUCCUAGAACUUUCUGUGUAGUCCAGGCUGCUUUGAACUUAUGGAUAUCCUCUUACCUUAGCUUCUAGAAUGCUGAGAUCAUACAUGUGAGCCGUUAUGCUCUAUGUAUAUGUAUUUCUCAA
ensembl:lncRNA